rnacentral:rRNA from 1 species
GGACUGGAGUGAAGUCGAAACAAGGUAGCCGUACUGGAAGGUGCGGCUGGAUCACCUCCUUU